rnacentral:lncRNA from 1 species
UUCUUACGCUCGAGGCGGUUCCCUUCUUUCUAUCUAGCCACCUUUUCGUGUCCUUUAGCGCCUCCGACCACCGGCCGGGCCCGGGCCGUCCGUCGGUGGUGUAAUUUAUUCGGAAAAAGCUGGCCACCGACUACCGGCCUGGGUGGGGGCCCGGGACGUUUUGUCAUCGGCCGACCGAGUGCCGCGGCGGGCAGUUUUACCUACGGUUCUAGCCUCUGCCCGGCCUCGGCCGAAGGGUGGAACCAGCCCGACCCGCCGUCUUUCCAGUCGGUAUCGAUUCCCCGUACAAAUACGCAGUAAAUGGAAAUGGAAAAGCUAAAAACCCGCUAAAUAGUUUUGGGUGGGGGCUAAAAGCCUCGGAUGGAGGCCGAUUAAUCCAGGUCGGGUACGGUCGACCGAAAACCGGCACAAAGGCGUUUUGGGCGGACGGGCCGGGGCGGGUAGCGGAAUCUACACGCUUCCGCUACCCGCCCCGGCUGACCUAUCCCGCUGGCCCCGUUUAACGCAAAAUCGCGCCGUUAAAUCACCGGUUCGCUUUAAAUUCUGCCGGCCGCGGCUUUCCCCCAGGGGGCGAAACUUUAAUGGCGCGUCAUACCGGGCGGGUUUUAAUCUUUAGUCCGUCGGGGGUGAGCCGUAGCCAAAUUUAACCGUGUUAGAUGUUUAAAAAGUGAAACGUUCCGGGAAAAAGCGCGGCACCAAACUGGAUACAAAGCGUAUUAUAUCUUUUGUCAAGGCGGACGGUUGGACCACCACCGCGCCACCAAUUGUUUUUUCGGUCCUAUAAAAAGCCAGGUCCACGCAAUUGUUAUCGUUUUUUGCUUUAUUAAAAAUAUCGUGGUCUCUAGACUUUUUACCGGAAAACAACAAUUUUCCCACCACCCUUAUUAUUUGCAGAGAUUCUGUUAGCCGCCGGUCGAUCGGUUGGUCGGCUAAAUCUGGUCGGAAGGCCGCCGGUCCAACCUACGCUUCUCUUCCGUUUUCCACUCGGCCUUUCCGGUGGUCCCAAUGGGGACGCGGGAGGCCCGCCUCCAUCGGCCCACCCGUCCGUUAUUCCGGGUAAGAAUUACCGGUCCCGAUCCUAUCCGUACCCCACCCGGCCUCCGUCCGAUUCCGUACCUACCUAGGUGGGGCCCCGGGCCCUACCCGCUCUUCCUUUUAAACACCGCUAGAAGGACCUCUACUCCGGUGGUUCCGGAGUUCGGUGUCGAGUAAACUGUCCCUUAUAAUAAACUCCGAUGGAUUUAUUUCUGGUAAGUAAUGUUUUUUAUCGGCUCUUCGGGGAAAAACUUUUCUACGGCCCACCUCUUUUCCUUCACCUAUUUCCCGCCGUCUAAUAUCUUAAAUAUUUUCCUUAUUCGUGUUUGAAAUGGGCAGUUAGGCUAUCCGGGCUCUUCCCAACUAACUCCGAGACAGCGAAAAAGCUGCGGAACCGCUGGUCUACCCGAUUAAUCCGGGGCCUUUCACUCGGUCAGAAUUUUACAAUUUUAACUAUGGGCGCUUUUCAUUUCAGAAAAACCUACUCGAUUAAAAAAACCGGCGCUUCUUCCACCCGCCCACCAGGCUGGAAAAUCUGCUCCCGCCUAACAAAUGGCCUAGCUGGGUCACCCGGGUCCUCGGCCUAUCAUCUAUCCCGUAUUAUUUUUAAUAAAAAUGUAAGAAGGUAUAAUAAUAAUAUUUUAUAUCUUGUUGGGUUUGUACCUGCCAGCCGGCGC